UUUAAGACCGUGAGCAAGUAGAAAGAGCUUCACCAUUCUGUCGAAGUGAUCCGUCUCGCUUGAUGUUAUUACAAGCAAAUCCUCAAACAACUCCAGUUAUAAAUGGAUAAAGUAAUGAACGAUUUAGUCGUUCGUCAGCGUAACACUUUUUUGCUGAUUGGCCGUAUUGGGUGGUGGUGGGUUACAGCUCAGUCUUAAGCAAUAUUGUUCGUGAAAAGCCUGCUACUACGUGUUAAACAGCGAUUUGAAAGCAGAAGUUGACCCGGAUCGAAAGUUUCGAUUCUGCUGCGUCCAAGGCCCCCAGCUGCUGAUACCACCACAGGCACCACCACAGGGGGUACAGGUGGUGCAUCAGCCACUCAUCUCAGUCAGUCGACCCGUGGCACCUGCUGGGUCUGCCCCGUGACCUCCUGCCAGCGGGCGUUCGACACUUCACGUGGCCUCAAGACCCCUUGGCAGCCUGGUUGCACUGCAGAACAAGGCGCGGAGUCCGACGUUCCGUUCCCUGACCUACCCCAGCGUGCGUCAGUGUGGAGCAACUCGUUGCAUCCCCCAUGUAUCACGGAAGAUCAAUCAUUUACUGGACACCGAUGCAGUAUAGCGCGCCCAGCAUUUACCGAAACGUCAUCCACUAGCAAGAGAGAGGUGGGAUCAGCUAAUUCACUUUCUGCGAGAGAGAGAGAGAGGCGAUGGAUACGGCGAGAGUGCUCACCGUCCUGCUGCUGCUGCUGCUGCCGCCAUUGGCCUCGUCAUGGCCGGUGAAGACCGCCGAUUCGCCGGUGAUGAACACCGCCGAUUCGCCGGUGAUGAACACCGCCGAUUCGCCGGUGAAGACCGCCGAUUCGCCGGUGAUGAACACCGCCGAUACGCCGGUGAUGACCGCGCCGGCCGGGAGCACGGUGCGUCUGGCAUGCCGGUUCGAUUGCGGUGGUGCCGGUGGUGCCGGUGGAGCCGGUGGUGCCGGUGAAGGCGGUGAAGGCGGUGGAG